UCUAAGGGGUGAAGUCCGGAUGACUUAUGUUUUCUCGUUCCAACAGAUCCUUGGUGUCCCGACACUUGGCAGGGACACCACCUCACGAGAGACUUUGACGUCGCUCUCCUUCAGUCUUCCUCCCGUACAGGCGCUCCCACGGCAUCGAAUGUAGUCAAACGCACACGAAAUGCCGCCUUUCCGACGUAUAAAUAACCGACGUAAAACAAGUAGAGGUUUGAGGUUUAAGAUUACGAGAGUCGCAGAUUCGGAUAAGAGCGGGGCUGAAGGGAAUGACGGUACCGCUAAACCGAUGGCGGUGUACGUGGUUGGGUAAUACGGGACGGAGUGGCCGCCUGUGGCGGUAAGGCGAGGUAGCGCGUUCGCCGAGGAAGAGGAAGGUGGUGGAGUUGCCGUCAGAGCAACGGCGGUAGAGGGUUCUUCCAAGAACACGGGUAACGGUAUCCGUACCUUCUUUACCUCCGUCAGUAGGAUCGGCCACAGGAGUCCGCUCGCCCGCGACUGCAUUGUGACCGGAGACACCUCCUGCCGGAGCUCCAACUCCGAAGGAUACCCUGCGCGUAGUAGCGUCUGUUCAGGUAACGUCGUACACGGCUGGUCCUCAAGCUGGAACACCGAGAGGGCCCUCCUUACGGACCAAGUCACGCCAACUCUCUAUUGCUCUAGGAAGUCUCUUAAUACCAAUCUGUUCGACUUCUCUUUUCUAACAUACCACGAUAUACACGACGUGGUCGACAACAAGAGUACGGGACCCCAGAAGUGUUCCCUUCUUUCUAGUGGACAGUGGGCAGCAAGAAUCCUCUAGAAGGUUGUAAGGCUCGACAGCUCAGUUUACAAGUCCAAAGUCCUCUCGAGUGAUGAUCAGCACCAGGACCCUGUCGUAAAGUCAAGCGAAAUAGUAAACAGCUCGUUAACAAACCCGGAGUACGACAACUUCUACACGUGUCAUGAAACUAACUACGGCCAGAACUUUCUUCAUGUCUUCAGUUGUCUCAACUCACCGGAAAACUAGUGUUUGGAGUCCAAGAGUAAGGUUAACGUUUACCCAGACUCCUCUACCUCUAGUAUUACAACCACCUAUAAAAUUCUGCCCGUUUAUAUUUACACCACAACCGUAGUCAACUGCUCAGGUGUUUAUAACAGCCCAGAGUUUCUUACUUCUAACAACGACUAUUUACGUAUAACCUACGAAGACUAAGUUUUAUACUAGAUUAGUAAUAAGGACCCCCUGGACGGCCUCGACUCGCAGAAGUGUCCACAUGUUGAGAAUUCUUCGAUGAGUUCCUUGUCUCCGUUCGUUCGUCCUACAUACCACCCUAGACAAUGAGAGGUAACUAUAACGUCUUCGUUCCAAAUGAGGUCAGUAAAAGGGACCGGUAACAUUCUUUUAAGAAACCGGUACCCGCUCGCUUUCCACACCGUUUACCUUACCAAAAACUGAUGGGGUUCUCGACU
rnacentral:rRNA from 1 species